GGGCGAUUAGCUCAGUUGGGAGAGCACCUGCCUUACAAGCAGGGGGUCACUGGUUCGAACCCGGUAUCGCCAC
rnacentral:tRNA from 1 species